GACGAACGCUGGCGGCGUGCUUAACACAUGCAAGUCGAACGGAAAGGCCCUGCUUUUGUGGGGUGCUCGAGUGGCGAACGGGUGAGUAACACGUGAGUAACCUGCCCUUGACUUUGGGAUAACUUCAGGAAACUGGGGCUAAUACCGGAUAUGAGCUCCUGCUGCAUGGUGGGGGUUGGAAAGUUUCGGCGGUUGGGGAUGGACUCGCGGCUUAUCAGCUUGUUGGUGGGGUAGUGGCUUACCAAGGCUUUGACGGGUAGCCGGCCUGAGAGGGUGACCGGCCACUUUGGGACUGAGAUACGGCCCAGACUCAUACGGGAGGCAGCAGUGGGGAAUAUUGCACAAUGGGCGGAAGCCUGAUGCAGCAACGCCGCGUGCGGGAUGACGGCCUUCGGGUUGUAAACCGCUUUCGCCUGUGACGAAGCGUGAGUGACGGUAAUGGGUAAAGAAGCACCGGCUAACUACGUG
rnacentral:rRNA from 1 species